UUGCAAAUGAUGAGUUAAUCCCAAUUGAUAAAAGAAGCUCAGAUUCUUGAGCAGUGUUGGAAAUCAUAAACUUCCAUGACUCUGAUGCAU
rfam:Arabis alpina cultivar Pajares chromosome 5, whole genome shotgun sequence.